rnacentral:lncRNA from 1 species
UCAAGGACUUGGGAAGGCAGAUGACCAGAGGCAUAAGGUCGUAGAAGAAGGAAGAUGAAGAGAUGCUGGUGGUUGAGGCCAGAAUGCAAGAUCUUGAAGGCAGCCUAUUCAAAUGGUGAUGGCAGCCACUGGGGGGGGGGGGGAGUCGCACCGAGGCUCUGUCCCACCCGGCAGGUGUCUCAGGAAGCCCCCCAGGGAGUGGUGAAGAGUGUGUUUGGGCUCGGCUGAAGCCAGCUGGGAGGCCACCUCGGCAGCCCGCGGGCAGUGACUGUUGGAGAAGAGGAGUUGAUGUUUCUCAGAGGCCUUGAGCUUUGGCCCCAGAGACCUUUCAGCAUGUCACAUGGCAGACAUUUUGGAAGAAGGCUGGAUGGGUGGAUUUGUGUCCACUGUGAUUCUCAAACUUGGGCUCUCAGACACUUGAAGAGGACCAGAGAAAAAAUGCAAUCAGACAAAAAUCCAUCCAGGUAAGAAAAGGCUCAGCCAGAGCCAGUUCGUUGCUGGGAUUAAUGGAAAUGAUUGAAAAGGCAAAUCUUGGGAGAAUGAAGAGAUGGCAGGGCCCCCUGAGCUGCACCCAGAGACCAGAUGGACCGUGGGUAAGGCAACAUGCAGAUUAGUCCCAGCGAGGAGGCACAGGGAUAGAGCACAGACUGACCAGGAAAGGAGAAGAGAAGAAUGACUCAGAGCCUCUCUGGUUGAUGUGAAGUGCUUUGAACCACUCCAGAGAGGCUGGGAGUACUGGCUCCUCUCUGCGGGGCUCCCUAAGCUCUGUGC